rnacentral:rRNA from 1 species
UACGGAAGGCAGCAGUGGGGAAUAUUGCACAAUGGGCGCAAGCCUGAUGCAGCCAUGCCGCGUGUAUGAAGAAGGCCUUCGGGUUGUAAAGUACUUUCAGCGGGGAGGAAGGCGGUGGAGUUAAUAGCUUCACCGAUUGACGUUACCCGCAGAAGAAGCACCGGCUAACUCCGUGCCAGCAGCCGCGGUAAUACGGAGGGUGCAAGCGUUAAUCGGAAUUACUGGGCGUAAAGCGCACGCAGGCGGUCUGUCAAGUCGGAUGUGAAAUCCCCGGGCUUAACCUGGGAACUGCAUUCGAAACUGGCAGGCUAGAGUCUUGUAGAGGGGGUAGAAUUCCAGGUGUAGCGGUGAAAUGCGUAGAGAUCUGGAGGAAUACCGGUGGCGAAGGCGGCCCCUGGGACAAGACUGACGCUCAGGGUGCGAAAGCGUGGGGAGCAAACGAGGAUUAGGAUACC